GGAAGUAAAAGUCGUAACAAGGUCUCCGUUGGUGAACCAGCGGAGGGAUCAUUACUGAGUUACCGCUCUAUAACCCUUUGUGAACAUACCUAACCGUUGCUUCGGCGGGCAGGGGAAGCCUCUCGCGGGCCUCCCCUCCCGGCGCCGGCCCCCACCACGGGGACGGGGCGCCCGCCGGAGGAAACCAAACUCUAUUUACACGACGUCUCUUCUGAGUGGCACAAGCAAAUAAUUAAAACUUUUAACAACGGAUCUCUUGGUUCUGGCAUCGAUGAAGAACGCAGCGAAAUGCGAUAAGUAAUGUGAAUUGCAGAAUUCAGUGAAUCAUCGAAUCUUUGAACGCACAUUGCGCUCGCCAGCAUUCUGGCGAGCAUGCCUGUUCGAGCGUCAUUUCAACCCUCAAGCACCGCUUGGUUUUGGGGCCCCACGGCACACGUGGGCCCUUAAAGGUAGUGGCGGACCCUCCCGGAGCCUCCUUUGCGUAGUAACUAACGUCUCGCACUGGGAUCCGGAGGGACUCUUGCCGUAAAACCCCCCAAUUCUUUACAGGUUGACCUCGGAUCAGGUAGGAAUACCCGCUGAACUUAACA
rnacentral:rRNA from 1 species